rnacentral:rRNA from 1 species
AUCGGAACGUACCCAGAAGUGGGGGAUAACGUAGCGAAAGUUACGCUAAUACCGCAUACGAUCUACGGAUGAAAGUGGGGGACCUUCGGGCCUCAUGCUUGUGGAGCGGCCGAUAUCUGAUUAGCUAGUUGGUGAGGUAAAGGCUCACCAAGGCGACGAUCAGUAGCUGGUCUGAGAGGACGACCAGCCACACUGGGACUGAGACACGGCCCAGACUCCUACGGGAGGCAGCAGUGGGGAAUUUUGGACAAUGGGCGCAAGCCUGAUCCAGCAAUGCCGCGUGAGUGAAGAAGGCCUUCGGGUUGUAAAGCUCUUUUGUCAGGGAAGAAACGGUCCAGGAUAAUACCCUGGGCUAAUGACGGUACCUGAAGAAUAAGCACCGGCUAACUACGUGCCAGCAGCCGCGGUAAUACGUAGGGUGCAAGCGUUAAUCGGAAUUACUGGGCGUAAAGCGUGCGCAGGCGGUUUUGUAAGUCUGACGUGAAAUCCCCGGGCUCAACCU